GCUCUAAGCUAUUUGAAUAUCUUAAGCUUCCCGUGCCUCUUGAGGCUGGGAGACUGUAAACAAUCGUAUGCAUAGCUGUAGGAGUCCGGGUAAACUUGUCAGGUAAGUUAGAGAACCAUCUGAGGGGUUUGGAUUUAAACACUCCUAAUUGCCCAGGAACUUUAUUAAUUGGAGCUGUAAGUUAACUCUUUGACAGAGAGCGAGAGAUGGUGGUAGGGGACAGCCCCAAGUAAAGUCAGAGGAUCCCUCUCAAGCUUCCUGCCCUGCCAGAAGGCUCACCAUAGUGCCUGGAACCACCUGCACAGUCACUCUGCCUCUCAACCUGAAGAGAUGAUUUAUCCACCCAACUCCUUCAACCAGGCUGUUGGGGCCAUGAUCACACAUUCAAGCAACGACUGAUGUCCUGCCCCAACUCUUCUGGGCUGCUGGGGUCACCCGUUCCCUGAAUGUGAAUUCUUCCCAGCAACACAUUCAAGCAACGACUGAUUUCCCGCCCCAACUCUUCUGGGCUGUUGGGGUCAUGAUCACACAUUCAAGCAACGACUGAUGUCCCGCCCCAACUCUUCUGGGCUGUUGGGGUCACCCGUUCCCUGAAUGCGAAUUCUUCCCAGCAACACAUUCAAGCAACGACUGAUCUCCUGCCCCAACUCUUCUGGGCUGUUGGGGUCACCCGUUCCCUGAAUGUGAAUUCUUCCCAGCAACACAUUCAAGCAACGACUGAUGUCCCACCCCAACUCUUCUGGGCUGUUGGAGUCACCCGUUCCCUGAAUGUGAAUUCUUCCCAGCACACUCUCCCCUGUCCACUCAUCUUUAACACCACACCCCAGAAAGGGAGGGCCUCUUUGUGGAAACAAAGUAGUCAUUCAGAAUUGGUUUACAGAAGGGUUACAAAUAAACUCAACAUAUGGUAU
ensembl:lncRNA